rnacentral:tRNA from 1 species
GAGGGCUUAGCUUAAUUAAAGUGUUUGAUUUGCAUUCAAUUGAUGUAAGAUAGAUUCU